rnacentral:rRNA from 1 species
GUGGGGAAUAUUGGACAAUGGGCGCAAGCCUGAUCCAGCCAUGCCGCGUGAGUGAUGAAGGCCUUAGGGUUGUAAAGCUCUUUCACCGGUGAAGAUAAUGACGGUAACCGGAGAAGAAGCCCCGGCUAACUUCGUGCCAGCAGCCGCGGUAAUACGAAGGGGGCUAGCGUUGUUCGGAAUUACUGGGCGUAAAGCGCACGUAGGCGGAUAUUUAAGUCAGGGGUGAAAUCCCAGAGCUCAACUCUGGAACUGCCUUUGAUACUGGGUAUCUCGAGUAUGGAAGAGGUAAGUGGAAUUCCGAGUGUAGAGGUGAAAUUCGUAGAUAUUCGGAGGAACACCAGUGGCGAAGGCGGCUUACUGGUCCAUUACUGACGCUGAGGUGCGAAAGCGUGGGGAGCAAACAGGAUUAGAUACCCUAGUAGUCC